rfam:Intoshia linei isolate Intl2013 Contig_45191, whole genome shotgun sequence.
GCCCCGUUAGCUCAGUCGGUAGAGCAUCAGGCUUUUAACCUGGUUGUCACGGGUUCGAGCCCCGUACGAGGCU